rnacentral:lncRNA from 1 species
UCAUUGGAACUAGAUGCAAUUCAGCCACAUCUUUCCAAACUCAUUUUCCACGAUCACCUCAAACAGGUUGCCAACACAUAUAAUACACAGAGCUCAAACCAUCUGUAGUCAGACCUGCUGGCUUAGAAAGCUUUAAAGUGGGAUUCUGUCAACAGAAGUCCAUGUGUAGCAGUUGCUUUUGGAUAUGUAUGCUAAACUUGCAGGGCCAGUCAUAUAUGCUGGAGGGUGGCAGCAGGAUUUAGAAGGAGGCAGCUGUGUAAAUACAGUCUGUUGCACCCCCUAGACUAGCCUGCUGCCUUCAAAGAAGAUGCUAUCAGAGCCUCAAAUGUCUUUUAAAAAAAAAAUCACCUGCCUGCUCAGUUAGUUUUUCUAUAAAGAACUGGAGGUUUGGGGUGCCAUUUUAACCUUUUGCCUCAGGCAGCAGAAGUGGGGCGGGAGAGCCCCCUAAAGCGAACUUCCUAGCUGGGGAAACGCUCUGUUAGCGAAUACUCCCUCGUCAAGGGGCGGAAUAAAAAGACGUCGCCCUCCCCGCCGCCUUGCUUGUGAGCUUUCAAGCGGGGGUGCCCGAGGAUCCCUUGCGCUCUUGGAUCCUCUCCAAAGAGGGGGCGGCAAUAAAAUCGUAUCCCGACGAGUGUUCAUGACUUGACUUGCGGCCCCCGUAUGGCUUGCCUGGGGGUCCAGGGAGAGGAUCUCGAUCCCCUUCCUUCCUUCCUUCCUUCCUUCGCUGGGGGUCCAGGGAGAGGACCUCGAUCCCCUUCCUUCCCUCCUCCGCCUGGGGAUCCCGCCUUUGGCUCGCCCUCCUUCCCUCUCAGGCGGCGGCGAGGGAGCCAAAUUGUGACGACGCCCGAGCGGGAAGGAGGGCAAGCCCGGUGUGGAGGGGGGGCGGCGGCUGAGGUGGGGCCCGAAGCGGAUGAUGGGCAGCAGAGCGCAAGCCUCCGCCCUUGGCCUCGCCAGCCGCGCCCGUAACACCCAACCACGCCAACACCACCAGCGCCGCCGCUGCCAUGCCGCGCCCCGCCGGACCCAAGGACUCCCUCGAUCUGCCGCCGGGAGCCGCGCAGCCCCCUCGGAGAGACUCGGGCGAGGACAGCGGCGGCUCUUCCUCCUCCAGCACCUCCCACAACCCGAGCUCGACCAGCACCUACACCGACCAGACCGUCUCCGGGCAGGUCUCGGCCGAAGCCUCGGCCAUCUCGCACUUCUCGCUCUCGGCGGUUCUCCAAGAGCUCAGCGGCAGCCAGAGCGGGCCCGCCGCGGCCAAGGCGGCGACCGCCGACAAGCUGAAAGGCGAGAGGGCUCGCACCCUCCUCAGGAUGUUGCUGAGAAAUCCAAAAACUUCUGAAGAGUCAGCACCACCUAGUGCAGUCACUGAUAUCCAUAAUUUAAUUCCUUGCGGUGAUGUGGUAUGUAGAUGAAGUAUGUUUGUAAUAUCAUUUUUCAGUACCAGAAGGUAUUUUACUUAUAGUUACAUUCGCAGUGUAGGACUGCAAAUAACAUUUUAAUGGCUAAUGGUGAAGAACGUAUUUAUCCUUGGGAUAUUUCAUCUUAAUCUCUCGUUUUGGAGCCUACUAGCUUCUUACAAUUCUAAAGGAAUUACAUCAGGUCUUGUUAUAAGCAAUCCUUAUUGAAAGUGGAGGCUGGUGACUCAUGUCACCGGGUUGGUGAAUCUGAACUUUACAGGAGUUAUCCAAGGCUGAACCAUACCCUUAAACUGAACCAUACCCUUAAAGCUAUGUCGGGUACUUUGAAAGCCCCCUUUGAAGUUCAGAAUGAACUCCAGAGCAGACUCACUGCCUCUACUGAUAUCGGACCCAGUAGCUUCAGUUCCAUAUUUAAAUUAGUUCAUUGUCUGUUGUCAAGUAAAUCCCAACUUGUGGAGAUGCGUUUAAUGAUGUUCUAGGUAUGGAGUAUUCGUAAUUGGUUUAGCAUUCUCUCCUUCUGUGAGGUGCCCUGG